rnacentral:sRNA from 1 species
ACUCUACCCCGCGCUGUCUCACGGCCCCGGCCCUAGCUUCACCCCGACUACCCGGCGUGCGCGUCCUCCUGCCGGCCUGCAGGCCCGGGGCCUCCGCCUGCUUCCCCACAGCUGCUCCUUGCGGCCCCGCUCGCGUUCACGCUGUCGCCCGGGCCGGCGCGGCCGCGGGCAACCGCUUCCCCUCCCACACCUACCCCGCCCCCUCCCCGCCUUUUCCGCCCUCCGGUCCCCCUCCCUCGGCCCGCUGCUGCUGCUCCAGAUGAGGUGAUGGCAACGGCCAACUUCGGCAAGAUCCAGAUCGGGAUUUACGUGGAGAUCAAGCGCAGCGAUGAUACGACCAUAUGUGGGAUGUUUGGUACAAUAUUUGCCCCUCCUUUGGAAGCAGAGUGAAGAACACAAUAUGUUGAGAUGUGCUAUUUUGACAACACUUAUUCAUCUUGUUCAGGGAUUAGGAGCAGACAGCAAGAACCUGUACCCUUUCCUGCUCCCAGUUAUUCAACUGAGUACAGAUGUUUCACAGCCUCCACAUGUUUAUCUUCUGGAAGAUGGUUUAGAAUUAUGGUUAGUAACUUUGGAAAACAGUCCAUGUAUUACACCAGAGUUGCUUCGUAUAUUUCAGAAUAUGUCACCACUUCUUGAACUAAGUUCAGAAAAUCUUAGAACUUGCUUUAAGAUCAUCAAUGGUUAUAUCUUUUUAUCAUCAACAGAAUUUUUACAGACAUACGCAGUAGGUCUAUGCCAGUCCUUUUGUGAACUUUU